AAAAUUGUCAAAUAACAUUUUUUUUCUUUAGCGCUGGAGUUAAAAAUGUACAACUGUAUCGGAAAAAUGAUAUCAGUCUGUUUGGUGCAUGGAGGCAUUGGACCACAUUUCUUCUCUCAGAGGCUGUAUGACCACAUUUGUGGCACAUUGUCUAAACCUACCCUGGUUGAGGAAGUUGUUAACCAUUCAUUCAGACAGCAGUUGAUCAAAAUUCAGGAUGCAAACACAGUCGUGGAAGCAAACGAGGCCAUCAUGCUGGCUGCAGAUACCCUGAGCAUUGUUGGAGCAUUAAGGCGUGUAACUACGCUGGAAGAGAGGGACUCCCUUGUGCAAUCUGCUGCAGACUUCUUUGUAAAUGGCAGAGUGUGCACUGCAUUGCAACAAAGGAGAAUGCAGUCCCAUUACCCUUGAAAUGAUACUGGAGUUCGCUUCUGGAGCAUCCAAGGUACCUCCACUGGGCUUUCCCCAUCGUC